GUAUUUGCUUCAGCACCACAUAUACCAAAAUUGGAAUGAUAUAAAGAAGAUUAGCAUGGCCUCUGUGGAAGGAUGACAUGCAAUUUCAUGAAGCACUCCAUAUUUUG
ensembl:snRNA U6 U6 spliceosomal RNA